GUGAAAUUAUUAGAAGCAAAAUAUUAUCCUUAAAACAAAAUGAAAUAGUAUUUAAAAAGUAUUAUUACACGACGAUAUUAUUCCGCAAAAACAAAUAACGCUGCAUACAACCGUUCAGAAGGGAGCCGACCGCGCGUCUGAGCCGCGCGGCAUGGUACCUCGUAGAGCUACACCCCCCCCGCUCCCUCCGCGUCGCUCGCAAGCAACGACGCCUCUCCUAUGUUUUGCACUUCAUGCGGCGCGCGGGUGAACUUUAUAUCGGUGUUAUUUUAAAAUUGUAAUAUCUUCUAAGAUAUUCAUUGAAAUUAAGUGAUGUCAAAGACAAUUUUGUUCACAGUUAAAUAAUCUUAAUCAACAACACAUUUAUUUGGAUAAAGAUUUGUAUUAUUACGUUGAUACAAUAAUGCAUUAAUUUCGACCAAAUUUUAUUACUAUAAAAACGGUUCUAGUGUGUUAAUCUUAAAAGAUAGAUAUAUACUGUCGUGGACAUUUUUUUAGAUCAUUUCAAGAGGAAUAAUUCUUUGAUACAUAUAUUUUUGGUAUCUUGAAUCGUUUUCGCAACGCAUGCAACGAAAGCCCUCAAGAAUGAAUAAUUUACCCCGUUUUUUCCACAUUUUCCAUUAUUUCUUCGCUCCUAAUAGUGGCAGCGUGAUGUUAUAUAGCCUAAAGCCUUCGUCGAUAAAUGGUCUAUCCAACACAAAAAAAAAAUUCAAUUCUAACCUGUAGUUCCUGAGAUUAGCGCGUUCAAACAAACAAACAAACAAACAAACUCUUCAGCUUUAUAAUAAUAGUAUAGAUAUAUAUGUUGAAUGAUACAAGUAUCAACAUUAAUACCAAUUUCUAUCUUCCGCUACUUCAUAUACUAUUGUUAUGUUUAAUAUUAUAUUUGUGUAAUUUCUAUCCGCCGAGCACGAUGAUGGUGUCAGCGGGAGCGGGUUGAGGGACGUGUAGAUGGGUCGUUAUCUCUGCGCUCGCUCGCUAUUCCGUCAACAAGUUAUUAUAUGUAAAUGAAACUCUUUGGUUCGUCAUUUAAAUUUACCGCGCAUUCUCCAUAUAUUAUCUGUGGUGACGGCAAAGGCAGGUUUUUUGCUGGAUUGUCUAAUAUGGAGAUUGCACUUAAUUAAUUACUUACUAAUAAGUUAACUAAUAAGAAACUAUAAAUAAAUAAGAUUGUUUGAAGCAAUAGCAUUUAAUGUUGUUUCUCUUUACAGGACGCCGACGGGGUCUUAAGCGAGGGGAUAAUCCGAGGGGCCAGGUAGCCAGGUAGCAGCUGCCGGACACGAUGAUGGCGACAGCGGGGAAAGGGUAGGAGGACGAGUCGAUCUUGCCAGCAACUCCGGGUUCCUACGAUAAAGUUGAAACCGGUCACUGACGACGCACCCUUACCCAUACGUCACAGCGGUCAAGGCGCUCUCCCACCGACUGGCUGUUUGCUGAAUACAGAAAUUUUUAAGGAUCCUGUUACUUAUUUUACUAUUAAAUUUUUUUUAUUACUAUGUAAAGUGUUUUUAUUA